GAUGAACGCUGGCGGCGUGCCUAAUACAUGCAAGUCGAGCGAACAGAUGAGGAGCUUGCUCCUCUGACGUUAGCGGCGGACGGGUGAGUAACACGUGGAUAACCUACCUAUAAGACUGGGAUAACUUCGGGAAACCGGAGCUAAUACCGGAUAAUAUAUUGAACCGCAUGGUUCAAUAGUGAAAGACGGUUUUGCUGUCACUUAUAGAUGGAUCCGCGCCGCAUUAGCUAGUUGGUAAGGUAACGGCUUACCAAGGCAACGAUGCGUAACCGACCUGAGAGGGAGAUCGGCCACACGGGAACUGAGACACGGCCCAGACUCCUACGGGAGGCAGCAGUAGGGAAUCUUCCGCAAUGGGCGAAAGCCUGACGGAGCAACGCCGCGUGAGUGAUGAAGGUCUUCGGAUCGUAAAGCUCUGUUAUUAGGGAAGAAGAAAUGUGUAAGUACCUAUGCACGUCUUGACGGUACCUAAUCAGAAAGCUACGGCUAACUACGUG
rnacentral:rRNA from 1 species